rnacentral:rRNA from 1 species
GGAGGCAGCAGUGGGGAAUUUUCCGCAAUGGGCGAAAGCCUGACGGAGCAAUACCGCGUGAGGGAUGAAAGCCUGUGGGUUGUAAACCUCUUUUCUCAAGGAAGAAGUUCUGACGGUACUUGAGGAAUAAGCAUCGGCUAACUCUGUGCCAGCAA